CUUCUUCCAACGCUUUUCCGAAAUCAUCCUUCUGAUAACGUACAUCCAAUGGGUCAAUCUCGUAAAAUAUGGGUAGAAAUAUUUGACCAAAAGUUUCGUGGCAUUCAAUGAUUUUUUCAAGCUGAAGAAGACAGCAGGUAGAUAAAGGGUAUGAUUUGGAGAAAACGAUUAUUGCAAUCUUAGAGGCUGCUAUUGCUCGCAUGUGUUCUUCCAGCUCCAUUCCCUCCUGCAGAUUCUUCCUUAAUCAAAGUUUUGACUUGAGCUUGUAAAAGGAGAGAAUGGAGAUGGGAAACGAACUUUUUACCGAUGUCUUCUCCCCAAAAGUUGAUAAAGACAUCGUAUCUGAACUGGGGUUCUGAUUUUAAGAAGGAUGAAGACGAUGAUGAUGAUGAUGGAUAAGAAGAAGCAAACUCCAUCAAAGGAAUUGAAGUCAACUCUUCAGAAGCAAUAAUGUUAAGAUGUUAAAAUUACAAUUGUUUAUGGACUUAUCAUCUCAUCUAAGAGUCUGGUAAGAAAUUUCAGGAUAAAAAAGUUAUAUAAACGGUGGCGUCUUGGAGGAAACGGAGAAUAUUCUCCUCGGGUGAAUCCAAAACACACCUCUGUAUAUUCAGCCUAGUUACCAACGAAUCCACACUCAUUUCCACGCAACCAUGAACAAGGUCUGCGGCCACCACCACCACACUCAUUCUCCUCCGCCACGUAUUCGCGGCCAUGCUUGGCUUUAUCUUAAUCAUCUGGAUCAUCCUCUGUUUGAAAUUCAAAAAAAUCUAAUUUUCAAUUAAUUUUUUACUAAACUAUUCUCUCAAUCUACAUUACUACACCUAACACCUCGUACACACCCAAUUCCACUUUUAUCUACAUUAACAGCACACAUAUGAUGUGGUAAAGUGUCACUUAAAAAAAAAAUUAAUUUGUAUAUAUUUUAAAAAAAUAUAAGGAUUCAAUUUAUUUUUUUAAUUUUUUUUAUAUUAAAUUAAAUAUAACUCUAAAUAUACAACGAAUAAAGUAAUUAUAUUUUAUUUAAGAAAAAAGAUGGUGAAAAGAUAAUAAACUCUAUUAUAUUAAAAAAACAGGUUAGUGCUGCAAAGAAUAAUAUUUUUUAUAUGUAAUCUCGAAGUGCGUUAUGACCCACCCUCAAUCACUCUAUUUUAAAUUCCAUAUAUUUUUAUUGAUUAAAGUGCUUAGCUCAAGCAAAAAUAUAUUUCCGGGCAUUAAAUUUUUAAUGGAAGGUUUAUCUCCGGUAGGUUAUUUUUUAUAUUGUUUAUGUUUUUUGUAAUGCAGUGAUAAGGAGUUUAUCAUUGUUUUAAUUAGGUGAAAAGCUACCUCUGUUAGAUAACAGACUGCUACCUUAAAAGCCAUUUUAAACCCAUAGAUGAUUACAAUUUAUAACAAAAAAAAAAAUUGAGAUGAUGAACAAAUGAGAAAAAAAAAAGACAAAGAAUAUAAAAAAGAAUAUUUUAUUUAUUUAUUUUCUUUUUCUUACUUAAAUCCAAGUAAAGAGUCUGAAUAUAUACUAGUAUACUCAUUAUAGGUUAAACUAAAGAGAUAUAAUGUAAAAUAAAGAGUCUAUAAAGGCUAUAAUAAGAAAAGAUAAAAUAAAAGCUACACAUAUAUACAAAGAGAAAAGAAACUACCAAAAAUUAGAAAAGACAAAAUUAAUAUUAGCUUCCUUCUAGAAAUCUUGUAUUCAUAUCCUUUGUUAGCUCCCACAAUUUGGAGAGCAAAUAUUGAUAAAACCCAACUUGGAACAAAUACUCUUGAAAGAUUGAGGACUGAAGACUUUGGUAUAAAUUUCAGUCAGUUGUUUUGUGGUAGAAAUGGAAAACAAAUGUGAGACACUUCUUCAUUUUUUUCCAGAAAAUGUAACAAUCUAUUUUACGUGUUUCGUACGCUCAUGAAACACUGGAUUUGAUGCAAUAUAUAUGGCUGAGUCAUUGUCGCAGUAUAAAAGAGAUGGUUUCUCAAAAGGAACUUUGAAAUCUAGGAGAUAAGUUAGCCAUUGAAUUUCACAUGUAACAAUGGUCAUUGCCUUGUAUUCAACUUCAUAAUUAAUAACUCUUUGAUAUUGUUCCUUUCUGUUAGUGUUGAGGGAAUAAAACGGAACAAGAUAUUUGUGAACAGAGAAUAUAUAUUUUAUUUCACUACUACUUUUCAAAUAAGAAUACAAUCUCCUAAAUCGUCUUACAAUAGACUUCUCAAAUUCUACAUUCUCUCUCAUAAAACCUAUACUGUAAUUUACAUUUAACUCAGUAUAAAUUACAUUCAAAACUAGAAUUAAAGAUAAUAAUUAUUGACUAUUCAAAUGCUAAAAUAAAACUGAUGACGACUUUGAGUUUAAUGCUAAAAUAUCCUCCUCAAAUUCAAACCUUUCAUAUUAUUCAUUCAGAUUUCUUUUCUGAGUGUCAUCACUUCCAAAUUUAUAUUUUUCCUUACCCCAACUGCCCUCUAGUAGUCACCAUACUAUUCUGGAUUGGAAGCAACUUUAGUUUUCUUCACUGCAUCAAUCCGUGCAGAAUUUUGUAUUGAAUUACUUUUAAUUUUCCAAACAAAAUCUUCUUCACUUUCACCCUUUGAAUUAAAAGGAUUUAAGAAAGAAAAUGACUUCAAUGAGCUUUGAACAUAAUGAUUAGACCAUAUAUCCCUUUCAGAUGAUGUCUCAACACCAUUCCAUUUAUGGUCUUCUCCUAAAUCAAAACCACUAUUUUCAAGUAAAACACAUGAACCAAAAGGGACUUUUAAUUUGAAUUGUAAUUCAUUCACCUUUUAUUUUUGUGCCAAAAGCAACAAAUGAAGUUCUUCAACUUGAUUGAAUCUAGCUUCCUUGUCUUUCUCCAUAUCAACAUAUUUUUCUUCCAAUUUUGUAAACCUUUUUUCUAGAUUAUCAAAUUUUGCUUCAACGCUCUCCAAUAAUUGUCCCACACUGAGAAUAUUACUUUUCAAGUCAGGUACAUAAAUUUCAGUGACACUUUAUUUGGAUUUAAAGGCCAUGUGCUCCUCCUCCAUUGGAUUGAGAGCAAAACUUUUUCCCUUCAUUUCAACUUUAAACAAAUCUUUGCCAUCAACAUCUUUGAUUAAGCAAUGUUUAUUUUCAAACAUCACUUUAUAGCCUUUUUCCAACAAUUGACCAACACUCAAAAGAUUUUGAUCAAUCUCUGGCACAAAAAGAACAUAUGUAAUGAUUUUAUACCUUUAUAGCUUGUGAUAGCUACUGUGCCUUUUCCUUUUACUACCAGGUGUUCACCAUUUCCAAUCCUCACCCUUUUAAUCUUAGUAGUUCUCAAUUCUUUGAAGAGUUCUUUGUCAUGUGUCAUGUGGUUGGUGCAACCACUGUUAAUUAGCCGAGAUGCACUUGAAAUAUUGUUGCAAAAACCAGUUGCAACGAAAAGUACAUCCUCCUUCUCAUUUGCAAUUUGAGCAUGUACAUCUUGUUGCUUACUUUGGUUUCUACAAAUGACUGCUUCAUGCCCAAGUUGAUUGCACUUAGCAUCAGGUCUUCUCCAGCACUUAAACGGUGGAUGACCUAACUUGUUGCAAUGCUUAUAAGGAGGAUAAUUUCUACCUUUGUUUCUCCAACCACCUUCAUAUUUGGUUGGUAAGGCUCCUUCUACUACUGCUCCAUCUUGUCUCAUGGCUCUCCUUUGUUCUUGUGCUUGUAAAACAUUUAAGAGCUCUGCAAGAGAAAUCUUUGAUAGGUCCUUUGCAUUCUCCAGGGUUGUUAUGGUGGCUUCAAACCUCUCUAGAACUGUUACAAGCAGUUUUUCCACAAUUCUUGAAUCUUUUAACACAGAUCCAAGCAACCUCACUUUGUUGGCAAUGCUUAGAAGUCUGCCAGAGUACUCUUUUACAGAUUCUGACUCCUUCAUUCUCUGCAAUUCAAACUCCCUGAUUAGAUUCAAGGCUUACAUUCCACGAAUCCUCUCAUCACCUUCAUAUUCUACCUUGAGGUAAUCCCAUAUUGCUUUUGUUGACUUCAAGGACAUUAUCCUUGUGAAUACCAUAGGAGAUACAGCUGCAAAUAGGCAUGUUUUUGCCUUUGACCACUUCAUCUUUUUUUCCUUCUGUGAUUUUAUUUGUGCCACCGUAGGGUUUUCUGGAAGGGACUGAAUUUCAUAGUCCUCUUCUAUAGCUUCCCAUAAAUCCAAUGCUUCUAGGUAGGUUUCCAUACGAACAACCCACAUUUGAUAAUUGUCUCCAUCAAAGACAGGUGGUGUCAUUGCAGAAAAAUUUGAUCCUCCUUCCAUUGGUGUACUCUACUAACCUCACAUGUCCCUCAAGAAAAUAGCUUUGAUACCAAUUGUUGGUGUUGAGGGAAUAAAACAGAGUAAGAUAUUUGUGAACAAAGAAUAUAUAUUUUAUUUCACUACUACUUUUCAAAUAAGAAUACAAUCUCUCUAAAUAGUCUUACAAUAGACUUCUCAAAUUCUACAUUGUCUCUCAUAAAACCUAUACUAUAAUUUACAUUUAAAUCAUAGUAUAAAUGACAUUCAAAACUAGAAUUAAAGAUAAUAAUUAUUGGCUAUUCAAAUGCUAAAAUAAAAGAUGACGACUUUGCGUUUAAUGCUAACACUUUCUUCUUUGAUUUCGAGGAUAUGAGGGAAUUCCCAAGAUACACACUAAAACAAGUCACUAAUUGUCUUGAAUCACUAAAGGUGCCCCAAUCACUAUCACAAAGGCUUUUAAAUGAGCAGAAGUGUUGGAAGAGAAAAAUAAACCAAGACUCGAAGCUCCUUUAAUAUAUUUGAGAAUUCUAAUUGCAGGCUCAACAAGAAUUUGAGAAAGUUGUUGCACAAAAAAGUUAUGUCAAGUCGAGUAUUAGUGAGAUACACAAGUCUUCCAAUCAAUCUUCUGUAGGCGUGAACAUCUAUGAAAGGAACACUUUCAGUAGAAGAUAAUUUUGCAUGAUUAUCAAUUGGAGUAAGUGCAGUGCAGGUUUGCUGGCUAAAAGACCUGCAUCUACUAACAAUUCCAAUGCAUAUUUCCUUUCAUUCAUCAUUAUCCCUUUCUUACUUGUUGCUAUUUCAACAGCAAGAAAAUAUCUUAAACCCCAAGAUCCUUAAUCUUGAAUGUUUGAUUCAAGGCUUGUUUGAUUCGCUCAAUCUCCUAUUUAUCAUUUCCUGCCAAUAUUAUCCACAUACACCAAUAAUGUUGUAAAAAAUCCUUUAGAAGAAGAAUUAAUGAACAAGGUAUGAUCAUUCAUAGAUUUUGUAUAUCCCAUAGAAAACAAAAAGGAUAACAAUUUGGAAAACCACUCUCUGCUAGCUUGGUUAAGGCCAUAUAAAACCUUUUCUAAUUUACAAACUUGUCGUGGUUGAAUAGAAGUCAAUCCAGGAGGAGCAACCAUGUAUACAUCUUCUUCCAACUCUCCAUGUAAAAAGGCAUUGUUUAUGUCUAAUUGUUUCAAUUCCAAUUAUAGAUAGAAGUUAGAGAAAGAAACAACCUUAUGGUGAUCAUCUUUGCUAAUGGAGAGAAAGUAUCAAGGUAGUCAAUGCCUUCUGUUUGUGUGUAUCUCUUUGCUACUAGCCUUGCUUUAUACCUUUCAACUGUCCCAUUAGCCUUAUAUUUUAUUUUGAAUAUCUAUUAAUAUCUAUUUUAUUUUAUUUUACUUAGCUAGAAUAAUAGUCUCCCAUGUUUGAUUUGACUCCAAAGCAGUUAUCUCACAUUGUAUAACUUUUCUCUAACAGUCAUGUUUCACAGCUUCUCAGAAUAAAAUCAAAGUAUCAACAUUACAAUUAUCAUAAAUUAUUAUCAUAAUUAUUUUUAAUAUUAUGAUUAUUAUUAUUAUCAUCUUUAUUAUUAUUACAUCAAUUUAUUAAAUUAAUUUUUUUAUUAUGUUAUAUAUCUAUAUAAAAUAAAAUUAUUAGUAUUAUAGUUAUAAAAAAAUAUUUUUAAGAUUAAGAAAAUUAUUAUUAUUAUUAUUAUUAUUAUUAAAGAGAAUAUUUGAAUACAAUGGAGAGAACUGAUAAACAUGAUCAAUAGUUCAAGAAACAAGCACAAGAACCACCAUAAGCACAACAUAGUAAGUGGAUAAGAAAACCCAUUUGUAAGGAGUUCCUUCAUAAACUUAACAUAACAUAUGUUGACAUUUUUUCCAUUGCUUAAAAGGAAUGUUAAUUUUCAAUCUCUUUAAUAUGCCCAUGAAUUGUGUUAUUGACCUUUCCUUAUAUUUCUUUAUUACGAUAGGUAAACUCUUCAAUUGUGGUAUCUCAUCUUUCACCUUUUUCUUUUUCUUUUCUAUUAUUAGGAUAAGGAAUAUAUUGUGAUAAACUUUAUCAUUAGUUUAACAAUAAUAAUAAUAAUAAAUUUAUCAUUAUUAUUACACAAAACUACGAGAAUGAGCGACUAGAAAGGAAAUACAAUAAACAACUUAAGCACAGGCAAGAAGGUAUAAUCACAGGACAAAUUUUUUUUUUUUUUAUCAGCAAAGAAUAGAAUUUAAUUAAAGGGGAUACAAAAGGGUUAUCCCAACCCUUUUACACCAACAUACUGAAGAUAUACAUAUUCUAUCUUCUGAAACAAGCUACUGUUACAACAAGGUGACCCUACUGUACUGUGUGUCCUGCCAUUACUAUGCUGCUUUAGAAUUUACCAUCUAUGCUUUUGGACAGCAGCUCCUCCGUGAUAUGGCUCCACCAAGGUGUAAGCACCAUUCACAUUUGAUUCUCUAUCAUUCAGAACCACAUCAUCAUGACCAUUCAUUCUUCAUUCCAUAACAGCACCCUCCAAAAAAGUAAAUGACACAAGCUCCUUCAGCCAAUCACUCAUUCAUAAGCACAGGACAAAAUAAACAUUGAAUUUAUUAACUAUAAAUUACUACUCAACAGGUUCUUUUUCCAAGUCAUUUGAUUCACCACAUAUCAAAUAGAGAGCUGUGUUCUUCACCACCAAUCCAUGACCAAAAGUCACGAAAAUCUCCACCUUGUCUCCAGAUCCUAAAUUUGACAUUAUGCCAUGCCAAUCUUCAUCAUUGAAGGAAAUUACUCUGCCAUGCCUGUGCAUAUGUAAUGUGCACUUUGUGUAAUUAACCACUAAGACACUUGUAAGACAUUCAGUUGCCACGAUUUCAGGGGUUGAUAAAUAUACAACACACAAAGCCAUUCCCUUCAUGUCACAAUCCUGAGGCACAUUGAAACAAACUGAAUGUCCCUCACCCACAUUCGCCAACCAAUAAGGAUAGUUGUCACCUGGAAGAGAAACAUCACAAGACUCACUGCUUGACAAUCCCUGUACCAGGAAAUCAAGGCUUAGUCAUGUUUGUAAUUUUGCUAUUCAAAUGAUCACCUACAAUCACCAUUUAAUCAUUCCAAAUCACUAAUAUGGGUUUUUUUAAUUCAAAUUACAAUGUAAUACACAGAUCAAAUUUACCCAAACUGAUAAUAGUUUGCUGUUUAUUUCUGCUUAAGUAUUACAGCUCUUUGAAUCUUGUGUAGCAUGAUCGUUUGGCUUGUCGAUCAUUAAAAUCAAGUACUUUUAGAUGAAACAUUCCGACUAUAGAACGAGUUGAAAAAAGGUAAGUAAUGUAGUUUCUUUUAGAUAUUGUAUUAGGAUCAUUUCAUGUUGUCUUAACUAAUAGCUAAAAUGAAGGGUGAAGGUAAGUAAACAGAGGUAAAGAGCUAGAGAAGGAACCUCAGAAACGCUAUUGCUAAGAGUAUUCAGGAAUUCAUUGUAACUUCCAACACCAAUCAAAGAAAACCUCAAGUGAUGCUUUGAAAUUCUUGAUUCUGUAAAAUUUACACCGUAUUCAACAAGAAUGGUUUUCACUUCAUUAGAUAGUUGAAACUCCGUGUCACCUUGAACCAAAAUACUGCGAAGAUUUGCAAGGCUGCUAUGCAAUGGCGCAAGGUCACGCCAAUUAUUAUUCUCCAUAUCCAUGCAAAACGGACUAACAAAAGAUUGGGGAUUCAGUGUUGGUGACAUCCAAGACCGAAUGAUAGAAGGAAAAAUACUAGUUGACAAUCCUUCAAAUCCACGUAGGGAUAUAUAUCCAAUGCUUUUUGAGAUUACAAUUGAAAAGGGCACUUGUUUCACAGCUGUACUUUCAGCUACUAGAGUUAUCAAGGAUUUGAUCUGCGCUAUAUCUUCUUCCAAUAUGUCAAUCUUCAAACAACCAGAGAGAAUGAAAGUUCUUAAAGAUUUCAACUUAUAUACCUCUUUGGGGAGAUUGCUUAGACUUGUGCAGUCUUUCAAAUUUAUCAGUAGUAGAUUGCGGAGAUCUCCAAUGGAUUCGUGUACCUCGCACAAACUUGGGCAAUCCUUUAGAAUUAGCUUUUCAAGACUUGGUAGUCCUGAAAAGUCAGGUGUUUCUAUCAAGAACUUGGAGUGACUAAGAUUAAGAAAUUUUAGCCACUUUAAAUCCUACAAAGAAGAAAAUAGAAGAAUGCAAUAGUUAUGACCGGAACCAAUUAUACUAUAUCUAUUUUAAUUAACCUACCGAUUUAAAACAAAAAAACACGUAAUAAUUACCUGGGGUGUUUUCCAGAUGAGCUGAAGAUGACUAUGUUUUAAAUCAAUUGCAAUUACGUUUUCCAUAGGAAAGUUUUUUGGUAUGUACUUAGAACGAAACCCUUGCCAACAAAUCCAUAUCAAUUCUUUGGAAAAGUAUCCAUAAUCUCCAGUAAGAUGUACAUGAUCCAGUUGUAGCAGUCUUAAUCUCUUCAUUUCCUUGAAAGCAUGAGCUUUGAAGCUACCUCUGUUGGUUGAAUGCAGUUUCAGGGACAAUCCCUGGGUAGCUUCUGUCCCCUGUGAUUAAUAUAGCGAAGAGAAACAAUUCAGAAAUCUCUCAAUAUCUGUUGAUCAUUUACUUAAUGCUGAGCCUAACAGGUUAACAACACAUGCAUUGCACUUGAAAAAGAAAAUAAAUUCAAAAUAAGUUUCAAAAUCAUAUAAAGAAUUUUCUUACACUAUUCUCUUUCAGUACAUCUAUUACGUUAUCCUGAAACCAUAAUCGACUCCUUUUACCCGGUUCUUCUGGCGAACUUUGACGAAUAAUUUCUCUUCCCAUGUCUCGUAACAAGGGAUGCAUUGCAAGUUUGUUGUUCUUUUUAACUUUUAUAAGACCACGUUCAAUGAGAACACUUAUUCCAAUAUCAGCAUGUAGUCUACAUCCAUUUAGUAUCUCUGUCACAUAACCUCUCUCUUUACCAAUAAAGAAACAACAUAAAUCAAGAAAUAUAUCCUUUUCCGUGUCAUUCCAUAAACCGUCAAAACUUAUUCUCAAUAUUUCCUGAACUUCAUCCAUGGGAAUUCUUUUUAGUGUUUCCAGUACACUUUCACACUCUUCCACUCUCUUUUUAUAUAAAAAGUAACCAAGGACAUUAAGAGCUAGUGGUAGUCCUCCACAGUAAGCUACUAUGUUUCUUGCAAGUUCAUUGAAGUCUUUUCUUGGUUUUGCUUCUCUAAAGGCAUGCCAACUAAAAAGCUCAAGGGACUCGUUUUCGUUCAUAUCAUCCAUUUUAUAAACAUAAUCAACUUUGAGUCUGUUCAGUACGUCAACAUUUCUAGUUGUAAUGAUUAUCACAGUUCCUUGACCGAACCAUUCACGAUUCCCGCAUAUGUUUUCUAAUUGGUCAAACUCAUUCACAUCAUCAAGCACAAUCAGCAACUUUUUUCGAGAAAGUACGUUCUGGAUCAUAGUUCUUCCCAUCCCAACGCUUUCCACCUCAACCUUGGAUUUUAGGACAUCAUAAAGAAGUUUUUCUUGCAAAGGAACACGCCUUCUAAAUACUCGAUUCCAAACUUGUCUAAUAUUUUCAAAAAAACUCUUACCGAUGAAUAGACGAUAAAUUCGAUUAUAGAUGGCUUUGGCUAUGGUAGUUUUACCUGAUCCUCCCAUUCCCCAUAUCCCUAUCAUACACACUCUCGUGGAAUGAUUUUCAAUACAUCUAAUCAGCUUUUCCACCUGGGAGUCUAAUCCAACAGGAAAUUCGGUAAUAGGCAAGUCUGCAUAGCCCAACAAUGUCUGAACGCGGCCAACAAUUUGCUCCACAAGUUCAGCAUCAUGCCUUGAAGAUGAAAGGUAAUGUAUUACGAAAAAUAAUCACAACCUUAACAUAAGUUUCAUUCAGUCUCAAACAGAAUAAUUCAUUUGUUUACCUUAGAUCUCUGACAUCCCAACCACUGAUACCUGCAGCUUUGGUGAGUGCACGGCUCCACAUUAACAAUGCAUGUUCCAGUUGUUCUCCUGAAUAGAUUUUGUGUGCAGCUUCUUCCAACGCUUUUCCACAAUCAUCCUUCUGAUCACGUAAAUCCAAUGGGUCAAUCUCGUAAAAUAUGGGCAGAACUAUUUGGCCAAAAGUUUCUUGGCAUUCAAUGAUUUUUUGAAGCUGAAGAAGACAGCAGGUAGAUUCAGUGUAUGAUUUGGAGAAAACGAUUAUUGCAAUCUUAGAGGCUGCUAUUGCUCGCAUGUGUUCUUCCAGCUCCAUUCCCU
rnacentral:lncRNA from 1 species